CUACUGCUACGGCUGAUAUACGCGUUUGUUAUUUGCUUGUGUAACUCUUCUAUUUACCAUAAUAAUAACAUAUUAAUUAAUAAUAAUAAUAUAAAACAAAAUUGUGCCACACAUUUAAGACAACAAAACACACACAUACACAACAAAAAAAAAGUUACAAAAAAGGAGGAUUUUUAUCAUUUUUUUCAUUUUCAAAAAAGUCACAUUUGGAAACGAAGGAGCUUCAUCGCUUCCCCCCAUUUUUCGCCCGUACACACAAGGAAAUCAUCAAAGAAGCAACACAACAAGCAAAAACGAGCAUCCGAGGAGGCGCGAGAUCUCUCCGCGGAACGACGACUCGACGAGUCGCAAUUUUUUUUUCACAAAGAGAGCAAACCACGGAACAACAAUCAAACAACACACGGGAACAAAAAGACAAAAACAGAAAAUUAAUUCGACAAAGAACGACGAAGAAGUUGGCAACAACAACAAACAACCACCAAAAGUAUAGUUUUUCAGUUUUUCAUCAUCAUCAUCCUAUAAUUUUUCUUUCAUCAUACAAAAUAUUAUCAUUUAUUGGAAAAUUCAUCUUGAUCAACGCAGUUACAGCAUUUAUACUGAUUGAACAAAGAACGUAAACAAAAUAAAUAAUUAACAGAAAAGUAAUAAAAUUGUGCACCGUAGAAGAAAAGAAAAGAUUUAAGAAAAAAAAAACUGAACAUCAGCAACCAAUAUAUACUAUAUAUUAUAUUAUUAAUACUUUUAUUAGAAUAUUUAAUAAGUAAAACAAAUGAAACCAAAAGGACUGGAAAUUGAGUAAUAAUAAAAUAUAAAAAAAAAAUUAUUAAUAAAUAAGUAAAAUAAAUAGCGGUCACCUGCAACAGGGACGACACAACGUUUAUUAGUCACAACAAACACACACACACACGCUAAACUUUAAAGUACAAAGAGACAAUUAAACAAAAAAUAUCGGGUACUAAACCUUAAAAAAAAAAAACAAACUUGAACACUAAAAGUGAAAUGAUGUGAGAAUGAUGUGAAUUAAAAUAUUUAUAAAAAUAGAACGAAGUGAAACAAAAUAA